CUAGAAGUGACAUUUUCAAAAAUGCUCUCACUUUCAAAAAAGAAUAGAUAUGCUUGGCUGAUAACAUUUUUUAAAGCCUUAAUUUUAUUGUCUAAUUUGCUGCUCUGUUCCUUGAACUUCACAUGCAGGCUAAGGUUUGCAAAAGACAAGCAUUUCAUUUAAAAUACAGAGUGAUUCUUACACUGUCAUGCAAUUUAUGGUGUACAGACCUUUUAGAUAGCCUUUUCAAUGUAUCAGUGAAGUUGCAAAAACCUUCACAUCCUUUCCCUUGAACAUCUUUGCUGCUAAGUAAUGAUGGUAGCUGCUUUUCAUUAAAGUGUAACUCUGUCAGAAGGCAAAAAGGAUCUUUGUACCUCUGGGGAUGUUAUAAUCUUCAUUCAAUGCAGUUUGUGAGUUUAUCUGAUCACUGUGCUUCUUGGAAGAGUUGCAUCCCACAUAAAUGCAUUUACUGCUUGUGUGUUUGUGUUUGUUUGGUUUUUUUUUUUCUUCAAUGUGAUUUCUUUAGCCUGUGCUAUACUCUGGAUAACAGGCUCACAAAACGCAAACUCUUACUCUUUUCUCUGGAUCUUAGUUUUCUCAGAUCUCCCUCAUUUCACAUAUGUGAGUCUCUAGCUUACCACUCUAAGAGCCCACAUCAUUAUGAAUCAACUAUAUGAAAAAUAUGUAGAAAAAACACCAAAAGAACCAAAGCUAUAAAAGAUUCUAUGAUUCUAUGAAACAUCACCCUUUCAGGUCACGUUGUUUUUGAUGAGCUUUUCAUGCUUAUUCACAACAGUGCCUAGAGAUUAGAAAGGAACAGAGUCUCAUUAAUGACAGUUGUUUUACACAUAUGUAUGUAUGCUGAAGUGAUUGCAAUGCUGAAAAAUAGCUGAAGAGGAAACAAAAUGGACUACAAAAUAUUUAGAAAGCAAGUACUCCUCGUGGAGCACGGAAAAUGAGCAUGCAAAGAGAGAAGCCAUAACGCCCUCUCUCUUCCAUCUUAAGUAACUACUGUUGUACUGUAAUGUGAUUUUCUGGCUUCAUGCAAGUGCACGCAAGACAUGGCAAGCCGCCUCCUUAUUUAAACUACUGUUACAUCUACUCUCCAUGCAAAUAGGUGGAGGUAAUUAUUGUUUGCUUUUUAUUAGGAUAUUUCAAUGAAAGUCUAGGUUCUUAGAAUUCAAAAUCUAGGGAAACUAAAGGUUUUUUUAACCUUUCAAAACACACGUGGAACUCCACAGUUAAUUAAAACUAAUUAAAUGUCUGAUGUAGUACUGCUUGUCAUAAAACCAUAAUAAAUUAUUUUUAUAUAAGCAUUGUCAUUUGCUAUUGUAGGUUUUAAUGAUUUAAAUAAUUAAUUGAGCUCCUGCUCUGGGAAUGAAGGGGAUCAGCUGAACGUUAUCAUGCUGAAGGAGAAUGAUUUCUUUGCUGGGCCUACAGUGCCAUCUACAGCACCAAGAUUGCAGCUGAAAAUAAAGCCUGAACUAUGAAGUAACUAUUUUAAUUUAUUUAUUUAUUUUUACUUUAAAGCCUUUAAAAAUCAAGAUGGCUUUUAUGUUCCUUUAAAAUGUCACUAAGAAAUGAAUAAGUAAUACGUUGUAUGCCUGAACCUCUGAUUGAUCACCUGAGCAAUGAGUCAGACACGGGAGCACAGGUGAAGGCAAUUCUCCUGUGCUGCCAGAAGGGGUGGAGCCUGGUUCCACCUCUCCUAGACCCAUUUAAGAGCUGGCUACCAGUGGGAAAAGUUCUCUUUUGGAGAUCUCUCCUCUGGAGUUUUGCAGCAAGCCCAGGAUGCAGGAUUUUCAAAGGAAAGAGCACUUAGCAGCCAAAAAGCCUCUCAAUCCCUAUUGGCUUUUGCGCCAAAAGUCUGACUCGGAAUUGUCCCUGACAUGUUAAAACAUCACCUCAAGAGCUGGGUGUUUUGAGUUCAUUUGCCAGGACUGUGCGUUUGUUUUCUCUGUGAUGUCGAAGAGCAAGAAUUUGGGAACUGUCAGGAGAAGGAAUAAACAGAAGUGUUUAUAAUAAGGAAAUAUAAUAAGGAAAAAUACUGUCCCCAAGGGAGAUACAACUUUUGUGGCAUGACUCAGGUUAUCUUCAAAAUUGUGAUAUAUUUUGCCAUUUACCAAAUCAUGCAGGGGCAACAUAAACAUGGGGCUGGAGGAUUCUUCUCUCUCCUUUACUCCUGCCCCAUGACCCCCGCUUAUUUUAACUACGUAUACAGCACAGAGCUACUCUGUGUACGUAUCUGAUGGCUUCUGCAGAAUAUAGCCAAAGCCACAAAAAGGGUUAUAAAACCUGAAGAAAUAAUUUCCCAGCUCCUACAUUGCUAUGUCAAUGCAUCCAACUGUGCAGAAAACAACUUCCUGUUGUGUUUUUGCUACUGGGUUUUUGUCAAAAAUGCUUCCAUUUUUAUUGUCCCCCCUUGUCUGCCUGAUUUGUUUGCUCAUUUGUUAUUUUGUUAACUAGAAGGAUUUAGCAGCAUUCAGUGAGUAUAUAGGACAGAGUUGAAGUAAUUAUUUUUCAAAUGGAUUUUCAUGCUUGAAUGAUCUCAUCUUGCCAAUAAGUUCCUUUGGCACUGAACUUUAUUACUUAAAACACAUUAGAAGAAGAGCUUGUAUAAUUCAAUCGCUCCCUUCAAAACUGUUACUACAAUAACUGCUUCCAGCACACACUCUGUGGAGUGAAACUGUUAGUACACCUCUGAAAGAAAUACAACAUAUCCACCAAACCUGUUGUUCUUUCUAAUGGGAAGGGGAAGACAAUACUUAAGACUUUGAAAGGGGUCUUAAGCAUACUGUAACCAUCUGAAGGAUCAGGCACAUGCGUGUUCCUGGGCAUACAGGGCCUGAGAUACCUUACCCACCUUCUAAGGCAGAGAUGGGGGGCAGGUCCAGCCAAAGACUAGUCUUCGCUACUGGUAAACAACCAGGAAUUGUUGUGGUUUUUUUUAAAGAAUUUUUAAAAUAUUAAUUAUUCUCCCAUCUAUUUCAGUUCUAGCACCUAGGUCAUCCCCAUCCAGAUGUGUUUGGAGAGCUGAGCACAGCAAUGUGUAGAAGGAUUUCAUGGACUCACAGGGUGAUGCCAAGGAGGUAAUUACGGCCUUGCUCAUCACUAUGCCUUCCCCCAGUGGUACUUGAAAGUUAUGAUGGAACAUAGAGCUCCUUAAAAAUAAAUGUGUACUGUCUUUGCACUCUUUACUUUCUAUGAAACGUUUGUAAUUAAAAAAAAAAAAAAUGAAAUCAACAAUCAAGAUUUCUUCAUUUAUUUUAAAAUGCAUGUAUUCUCAGUUUUUACUUUUUUUGACUGUUCAUUUUUGUAUUAGAUAUUUCUACACAUAAAAUGUUGCAGAUUUAAAACGUGAUUUUAAACAAUUCAGCAGGGUUUCUAAUGCCAAAGAAAGGAUACUUUGCCUUUUGCAAAGAGAAAUUCUAGCUUAGUUACAGGAUAUGCUACUUGGUGGCUCCAGUUGUGGCAGUAACGAUUAAACUGACUUCUAAUACGAAAAUAUUUACAUUUUAUCUAAACUUGUUUUAUGUGUUUUUACUUUUGUAAGUAGUGUUCCUUCUAUAAUAACCAAGAAAACAAUGGUAACUGAAGGAAGCCAGAAACAAUUCCAGUUUAGCACCUGUUUUCCAUAUAUUUAGUGCUUACACAUCAAUAUUAAUAUAUUCACUCUAAAUUUAUACGUGAGUGGUGCUAAAUGAAAGUUAAUGUGCAAAUGUUUGCAUAGCAGAAAUAUGCCUAUAGCAACUGUGACUCAUUUUCUUCUAGCCAUAUUAGUAGCCCUUAGUUAUACA